UACGGAGGGUGCAAGCGUUAUCCGGAAUCACUGGGUUUAAAGGGUGCGUAGGCGGUCUGAUAAGUCAGUUGUGAAAUUCCUCGGCUUAACCGAGUGGACUGCGAUUGAUACUGUCAGACUUGAAUCAGGUUGAGGUAGGCGGAAUGUGACAUGUAGCGGUGAAAUGCUUAGAUAUGUCAUAGAACACCGAUUGCGAAGGCAGCUUGCUAGACCUGGAUUGACGCUGAGGCACGAAAGCGUGGGGAGCAAACAGG
rnacentral:rRNA from 1 species